GCACUGGUGAGGAGUCCCCUACUAGGACGAAACGGCCGUCCAGUGC
rnacentral:hammerhead_ribozyme from 1 species